rnacentral:rRNA from 1 species
UACGAAGGGGGCUAGCGUUGCUCGGAAUCACUGGGCGUAAAGCGCACGUAGGCGGCUUUUUAAGUCAGGGGUGAAAUCCUGGAGCUCAACUCCAGAACUGCCUUUGAUACUGGGUAUCUCGAGUCCGGAAGAGGUGAGUGGAAUUCCGAGUGUAGAGGUGAAAUUCGUAGAUAUUCGGAGGAACACCAGUGGCGAAGGCGGCUCACUGGUCCGGUACUGACGCUGAGGUGCGAAAGCGUGGGGAGCAAACAGG